CCGUUAGCAGAACUCUGUGAUAGUAAUCCUCUCCUCCACCGCCAUGGACAGAAAACUCAUCCUUUACGACACAGAACUCACAUGGAAAUAACGUGAACAAGAGACCUGACUGAUCAAGAAUAUGAUCAUUUGAAGACGAUUUUUUUCAAAUGACAGCAAGGGCAGAGUAAUUCAUCCACAAAGCAGAGAGUCUCUGUUACCCACAGAACCUCCUGGAUUCAAUCCCACUGUCCGUUCCUUCCUGGGCACCUAAGCUAGCUAUUGUGUUUCUCAGGGCAGACCACAUCCAGUGACUGGUUACUACUGGGGGAUGAAGAUCAGAACCCCUCAACACCAGCUGGGAGAAGUCUUAGCUGGCCAGUCUCAAAGCUCCCCACAGUGCAGCUGAGCCCUUCCUGUGACAGCAUCUCAGCUGCCCUUCUCUGCCAUCGGAACCUGCUUCCGCCCUGUCCCUGGCACAUAAUGCCUUUUUCUGAACAAAGAGAGAAAAGUGAGCAAAUCAUAAUGGUGCAGAAGAGCGACUUUUCCCCAGGCUCACACUCCACUCCACCCAGGACCCAGAAGAGGAAACAGAAUCCGCAGUUGCUGGCGUUGUCAUUAUUCUGGCUUCUAACACUAUUUUGCCCAGCUUUCCACUUGGUAUAAAUAGAAUCAUGCAGUUUGUGUACCA